UUAACAAAAAAAGUAUAAUUUUGGCCUCUUUCAUCCAAGAAUUGCUGAGAAGACGUCACAUGUCUCAAAAUAGGGUCCACAAUCACAGUUUUUUAUAAAGAUAAAAGGUCAAAAAAGUAUAUUUCUCUUCUGUUAGAGGAUCAAAAUAGCAUAUUUCCCUAAACAUUGAGUCACUAUUAUCAUUUUUCUAAAAGGAGGCUAAAAUCGCUACUUUUACAAACUUAGGGAGUGAAGUGUCUUUAAGCCUAAUUCAUAUUGUAUUAAAAAAUAAAAUAAAUCAUUUAUUUUAAAACAAUGUUUUUUACAGAUGAGUAAUUUAUUAUGUAAGGAUUGAGUAAUUAAGUGAUAAAAAAAACUCGUAAUUAGAGGGAAAAUCAAGUUGAUUACAUCUGUACCCACUUCAUAUUGAGUGCUUGAUUAUUUUAAAUUGUUAAUUACUUUUGACUACUUUCUCAUAUUCUCUUCUCUUCUGAGAGCUUCCUAGUUAGCCUACUUAUAGCAUGAUUCAUUGUAUGAGACAACACAAACGAACCCAAUAUCUUCUUCUGUAUACAUCAGUUGGAUAUGUUUAACUUUAAUGAUACAUGAAACACUGACCUGGCAAGAAGUGUACUAGCAUUAGAGAAAAUUAAGGAAAAUGCUAAAGAACAUUGUUAUGGGAAGUUUGUUAAGAAAAAUUAAAGUAGAAAUCUAUUUUUGAAAAAUGAUGAGAAAAUAUAUAUAUACUACUUUUUGAAUGGUUAAAAAUUGUUAUUUUUAUUGUAACGUUUCUACUUUAUGUUUAUAUGUCUUUUAAAACAUUCGUUAACAAAACUCAAAAGUUAAAAUACACCAUCACAUGAAAUUAUUAACAUGUAAUUUUUUUUACAGGUUUUAAUAUGUAUUUGACAAGGCAUGAACGCUGCAUAAAUUUUAAAACUACAACACACAUAGAAUUUUGUAUUAAAUAUAUAAUACAUAUUCCAAUAUAAAAGAAUCGAUAUCUUAAUCAAUUGAUGAUGGUUCAUAAUGUAUCAAUUUGUUAAAAGUUUGAACUUUUAUAUCAAAAGAUAAAAUUUAAUCACCUGGAUGACAAUUAUAAAAUAAUUAUUUGUUCAAAAUUUUAUUAAUUUUGAUUUAUUAAAUAUUUUUUUAAAUGAUUAAUUUUAUUUUUUCAAUAUUGAGAAACAUAGACCAUAUUUACACACACACACAAAUAAGUUUUAGAUCCUCAUAAAUAUUUUUUUGUUUUUAGUCCCUUUAUUUUUUUUCUCUAAACAAUAGUCCCCUAAAUUUUUUUAUCGGCAAAUUCGGUCUCAAUGUUAAAGGUUUUAUAUGCGAUAUUGUAUAUCUAUAUUUGUUUAUAGGGGUUGCUUCAGACUAGCAUAGAGUCCAAUAAGAGUGGCCCGUCAGAGUAAAGUCCACGUGAUUCUGAGCUGAACACAUGAGAGGUGCACCAGAAGUCUUGUGCAUCUUACCGCACUGGAGCACUCCCCCAAAGCAAUCUCCAUAUCGUUGAAGUUCUCAUUAACGGUCUCCACAGAUUACAGAGGCAGCUAUCAACCCUUUUGCCUAUAUAACUGUGACCAGGCGUCACGUCCAAUGUAUGAUUCAUUCACCACCUUUUCGCACAUUUUCCACAUAUUUCAUAUACUAACUUGAGCGUUAGAGUGCUAAUGUGUCUGCAGACACCAUUCUACUCUACCAUAUAAGCCUUCACUCCACCGUACCAGAAUCUCACCUUCCAUCGCCUCAAAGCCAAUAACGUAUUUUUAACUUAAGUAUUUGGUCCAUAUGAAUAUAUUAUCUUUUGUUUUUACUCCCACUAUAUAAUGCCACAUAUAACUUAUUUUGACAAUGAAGACCAAUUUAUUGACGAAACUUUUUAGAUGGACUAAGAAGAAGAAGAAAAAGAUAUAUUUUUGGAAUAAAAAUUCAUUUAACUUAUAUUUGUUUAAGUGCAAAAUUAUAAGUAAACCAUUUGUGAGUAUAUUUACACUAUUCAAGUUGUCUCAAAUGAAUAACAAUCAAACCAAACUCUAUGUAUUGUUCUUAGUCAUUAUUUCCCUAAAUUUUUAACACACUUGUUAAAAAUCUAUCAAUCACUCUCCCUCUCCAAUAAGCCGGCCCUAGUUUUCUCUCUUUAAGUUUUUUCUUCCAGUUUCUUUAUUGAGGGGUGGUUUUGGGUCAAUUAUUGACAUGAAAUCACCUCUCUUCAUCUUUUUCUCUUUAUUUCAAUCUAAAUAAGUGAUUUUCACAUAGAUCUAGGGUUUUCUUUUUGAUUUCAUCAUCUAAGUGUGGUGGUUUGUUAUUCGUCGUCUUGUGCGACAUUUUUUUAAUUUUCCGUCUUCUUGCGGUGUUCAUCUGAUUCAUAUUGAAGAUCGAUUAUUCAAUCAAAGAUUUGAGCAUCAACGUUGCAGAUCCGGAGGCCAUGAAUAUUUCGGUGACUUUAGUUUUAUCAUAUAUUUUUGUAGGCAUUAUGCCGUUAUAUGCUAUUAACUUGGAUGCUGUGAGUUUGUUCACAGAUUCAUCAUUUACGUUUUUAGCGGUGUUGAAUGGUGUAAUCUCUCUCGAUUUGAAUGAAUGAAUAUCAUUUUGUUUUUGUCAAAAAAAAAAGUUGUCUCAAAUGAAUAGCAAAUAUAUACGCAUAACGGUUCACGAAAGUUAAAAAAGAAUAUUAAAUUUGCUGGUAAUUGAUAUAACUUUUAUUAAUGUACCCAAGAAAAAUAAUUAGUUUAUAUUAUCUUAAUAGUGUUUAUUGUUGACGGUAGAAAAGAGGUAAAAUGAUUCCGAAUAUGUUGGUAAAGAUAUAAUUAAUAUAAUUGAAUAAUUAGCAACUUUCGGACAUUAAUUAGCAACUUUUUAGUGCAAAGAUGAAUAUUUUUUUUCUCUAAAAUAAUAACAAUAACUUAAAACUCCUUGGCUUCAAAAUAAAAAUAAAUAAAUUUCUCUUAAAAUUUUCAAAACAGUAAAUCAGAGUUCUUACAUUAAAAGUAUAAAUUUUUAAGGAUCAGACAUUUGACCUUUUCCUACCCAAGACAAAUCCUAGUUGGUCAUAGUUGUGGAUGCUUGUGAAAAGUUUUCUCAACAAGACUAAUACUAGUGUCAGAAAAUAGUAAGCCUCCAAAUGUGCACCACUGUUUCACUUGUGCCUUCUUCUACUAGAUCACUUUGCCUCCCUGACGUCACCGCCAAGGAGGAAAGACGAAUUAACGGUUAUCUGUCCAAAAGUAAGGGUCAUCUCCAACUAACAAACAUGGUACAAAUAGGCAUGCAACAUAGAUUUCAUGAAAAUAAAAAUAAAUGAAACAUAUAUGACACAUUACUCCAGUUUCAUAAUCAUCACCCUGAGCACCAAGUUACACUCUAACUAAAAUGCGUUAGUUCCUAAUGGUCAAUCUACAUGUGCAUGCUCAUGAUCCGGAUUUCACCUCUAAACGGAGCCAAUUGUCCCACCAUUGGACAAUAUACCCCACCAUUCGGUAAUAACUCCUAAAAAUUCGAUGUUCAGUACCCCACCAUCAGUGGUGGAUCUCUUUGGUGGCCGGCGGGAGCCACGGUAUCCCCCAAGAUUAACUUAUAUAGUAUAAUAGGUAUAUAAUAUUAGCAAUAUUUCGCUGCUGCAGUGGUAAGGGGUGCCAGAAAUUGCCUAAGGUCGCGGGAACUUGAACCCAUGUUCUCUUCCUGCUUUCAAUCAAUUCAUACCACUAGGCCAAUUAUUAAUUAUUGAUAUAACUUGAAACCAUUUAAUAUAUAUUCUAUAGAAAUUUGGCACCCCCAAGAAUUUAAUUCAAGAUCCGCCACUGCCCACCAUUGGGCAUUAUUCUGAAUCAUCUAAUGCAUAUGAAUCGUCACUACCCCACCAUUGGGUAGUAACUCCUAAAACUCGAUGGUCAGUGCCACACCGUUGGGCAUUUGUCUGAGUCAUCUAAUGCAUGAAUAUCUCCGUAAAUACCCCACCGUUGGGUAACUCCUAAAAUCAAAAGUCUAAUAUCCCACCAUUGGAUAUAGUUUUGAAUCACCAUUUUAGUUACUUAAGGUUAUUCACCCAUAAACAAAUAAUAUUUAUAUUAAACAACACCACAUAAAUAAUACCCAUAAUAUUCAUGCAAAAACAACAUCACCAAGAUAAUUAUCACAUCACCAAUAUAUAGCACAUAGCACUCAUUUCAAAACAACAACACUAUAAUAAUCAUCACAACACAAAUAUAUACACACAUACACGUACGGAAGCGCGUGAAGUGAUGCCCUUACCUUUGCAACAACGAUCGAUUCUUAAAUUUCUUACUUCAGUAGUCUUUGUCCCUCUACCUCUAUACCUUCACAGUUAAGAAUUUCCUUAGUUCUGAAUUCUACUAAUCUUUAUUCCUACACAAGAUUUAGGUUCGGUAAGGGUAUGAUUUCUUAACUAAAUCCUACUAAUUUUUUUGUUGAUGGAAAUAAUAGCUGUUAAUUAUCAAGCGUGUUUAACCCAUCAAAAUAAACCCUACAACAUUAUAUUCUUUUAAAUUUAACAAAAUAAAACACAAUCAGGAUAUGUAAAUAAAAUAGGAUGUUAGCUUUAUCAAGUAUACUUAGAUAUUUUGAAUUCAAUUCGAACCAGUAUUGUUACAAGAGUCCCUUGUCGACCAACUAUAGCCAUUUCAAUAAAAUAAAAUAAAAUAAAACAGUAUUAACAUUCAAGAUAUGUUAAUUAAUGAAAAUAAUUUUGACAACUAGUUCUCUGACUCUAAAACUUAACUUUGACCACUCAAAAUUAUAUCCAUCCUAUAUAUCUUUUCUAGUACCCACCGCAUAUAGUAUAUACAUUACUAUUACCAUCAAUUCUAUUCUACACAAAAAUAAUCAAAUUAAAAUCUGCUUUACUCUCAAAACUUAGACUUCCUGAUGUUUCGACAAUCAUUUUACUCAAAUCACAUUAUGUAAUGAAGGACCAAAAAAAGUUUUAUUUCAAACUCCAAACGUACCUUAGACCUAACAAAAAUAACUGGAAUAGUGCAUAACCAAAAAAGAAGUGUUAUAUAGUACGGGAAUUAUUUUUACGGAAAUUCACGAACGCUUAGCAACCUGAUCACUGUUUCUAUUGUUAUGCAGUGCACUAUGUCUCUAUUGUUAUGCAAUUUAGCCAAAGAAAAAGGUGGUCAACACCCACCGUUUCAAUUAAUUUGCUGCACCGUUUGUUUAAUUAAGAAUUCAUUUUAUUAUUGUUAAGAUUAAUUCCCUCAAACAAAAAAAAAUCAGUGUUAGGAUUAAUUAAAGAGUGCUAACCUUUCACGACCCAAAAAAAAUAGAAUGCUAACCUUAAACUUUCUUUUUAUUAAUUAAAUCACUUACUUUUAAAAAUAAAAAAUAAAAAGUGUCGCAGUUUUUUUUUUAAGGCAUCCGUGAAUUUUCGUUACCAUAGUUCCGUACCGUUUAGCAUUUUUCUUACCAAAAAUAGUUCUCUAAUUCUAACUUAUGAUAACUUUUGUUUUCUUCCAAAAACUUAACUGAAAACUAGAACAACACAAAUUGCAAUCAUGCUCUCUUACAUGCAAAAAGUUCACAUCAAUGUUCCUUUUACACUUAAAAGUUUGACCACUAAUUCAAAAAAAACUCACUUUUAACUUAAUGAAGAUUAAUAAAACAGCAGUCCAUUUGUACUCAAUGGUUAAAUUCAUAUGGACAUAAAUGACACGAAAUAGGGAAUAAAUUCCAUAAGGAAAUGAAAGAAAAAUAAGUAAAUGCAAGAGCAGCAGUUACUAAAAUUUGAAGAUACUUUUAGAACAAAGCAAAAACACAAACUGGAAUAUGGGUUUAACAAUUCAAAGUUUUUCCAUAAACUUCACUAAAAGGUGUCAAGGGCAUAAAAUGGUUGAAUUCUCUAGCAAUAAGUAUUAAUGAAAAAUUAUAGCAAGAGUGAAGAAAGUCUUAAUAUGAUGUCUAAUUGUUGGUCCUAAUUAAUUCUCUUUUCUUUCUCUUUCAAGAGUCUCUCCAAUGAUACCUUUCUCUAUAAGUUCUUUUCAAUUUUUCUAAGUGUAGAAUCAGUAAGGAAAUGAAUGCAUAGAAUGAGAGAGGCAACCGACUAUUGUUCAUGAAAUAACCUCCCACUAACCCCUUCCUAAAUGAGUGGCACUAUGCUUAAGAAGUGGAAAGUGAAACUGACCAUGUAACUAGGAAAGGAGGUUACCUUGUUUUCUUUUAAAUACAUGUCCCCAUUUCUUUUCUAUAAUUAUGGAUCACUCAAAAUAAUUAAUUAGUUUAAUAGCAACAUGAUAUAAAGAUGAAGAGAGACGUGCUACAGGUACACACUACACACAUUGAAAAAAAAGAAAAAAAAAAGUUAGGGCUAGUCAUGAUAUGAUACGGUUAACUACUAUUGCAUAAGGUAAUUGAAUCAAAGAUCAAGUCAUUUUUCUUUAUCAUAAUAAUAGGCAUAAAUAGUUAUAGGGUACAUUAUUUAAUAAUUGUAAUGGAUUUUGGCUAUAUACUUUGAAAGAAAAAUACUAAAUAAUAAUAUUAUCAUUCAAUAAAUUACAAAGGUAAAUUAUUUUAAAGUCAACUUAAGAUAAAAUAAUCUAGAAUAAAAAUAUGAUAAAAUACCGGGAUCUUACACAUAACAGUUCACGAAAGUUAAAAAAGAAUAUUAAAUUUGCUGGUAAUUGAUAUAACUUUUAUUAAUGUACCCAAGAAAAAUAAUUAGUUUAUAUUAUCUUAAUAGUGUUUAUUGUUGACGGUAGAAAAGAGGUAAAAUGAUUCCGAAUAUGUUGGUAGAGAUAUAAUUAAUAUAAUUGAAAAUUUAAAUAUUAUCUUAUAAAAAGGGACAAUUUUUUUUUUCAAGAGGGUCUUAUAUAGGAACGAAGAUAGAAGAUAGUGUAAGGGUGUUAUACUUGUCAUUUACAUGGUUCUAAGCUUUAAUGGUUUGUUUGGAACUGCAAAAACAAUAAGGAAAGAAAGCAAAGUGGAAAGAAAGGUUGUUGAAAAACAUUCUUUCCCUUGCAUGGUUGCAUUGUCUCAGUGGAAAGAAAGUUUAAUUAUGAUGGGGCCCACGUUUGGCAUGGGUUCAAAAAUUGUAAAAUUACAAUACUGGUGUUAUUUGAAUAAAAAAAUUCCAAUGGCAUGUGCUUUCUUUUUUCUCACCUGUGACUUUGGUGGCAUUCAACAUUUAUUACUAUUAUACAUAUAUACACCCAUCCAUUAACAUUUUUUCUUGUAAAUUAACGGUUAAUAAAAUAAUUCCCAUAUAAUAUUAUGCUACCGUUAAUUUAUUAUUUGUUUUUUUUUUAUUAAUAUAUGUUACUUUAUGUAAUAGUACAAUAUCAAUUUUUAAUGUAAGGAUAUUUAUGUCAUUUUAAUAAACAUAGAUCUAUCUUUCCUUUAUCUUUCUUUCCUCUUUCUUUCAUACCAAACGGUCAAAUAAUCAUCUCACUUUUCAUUCACUUUCUACUCACUUUCAUUCCUUCAACUAUCUUUCCACUUACAAUCUUUCCUUUCACUUUCUUUGAUAUUCCAAACAAACCCUAAAUGUCCUAAGCGGCAUGAGCGGAGUUUCUUAAACCAUCUCUAGGAGGGAAGUUCACAUGUCCAGGUGACCCAUUCGAACCAAUGAUCCAAACCAACCCAACAUGUAUUGUGCUUGAACCCUUUUAAAUCCUAAUCCAACGCUAACUAACCCAGUUAAACAUGAUGUGGUUCAUUUCGGAUAAUAAACUUGUGAAUCCAAAUUUGUGAAUCCGACCGGUUCAAAAUAUUGUUUUUGUAAACAUAAUUUAAGACUUUUAUGUGUUGAUCUAGAAUUUUUUUCAAUUAAAUUCAUGAGUUAAAAUUUUAAAUCGUAGAAUUUAGUCCAAAUAUUGAAAUUAUAUGAAAUUGAUAGCUAUUUAACCAUAUACUUCUUUUUCCCAAUUUAUUUAUCAUGAUCCAACUCAAACCAACACUUUAGGUUUGAAAGAAAAAUACGUGAUUUUGACUAAACCUAAAUCAACGUAAUUCAAUUUGAUCUGAUGACAAGUUUGGUCAAAACCGACUCCUUGGCUCUUCAAUUUUAAGAACACAAAAACCAUUUUGAGCAUCCGAGCACAUCUAAGAUACACUUCAUAUAUGUUCUUUGUUAUUUUUGGCAUUUGAGGAAAAAAUUAUAAUUGUUCCUUAAAAUUGAGUUGGCAAAAUAUGUCUCACUCAAACCAACUUAACAACAAUAUUUGAGCUCUAGCAUGUAGGGAAUGGAAGAAUCAUCCAAGCUUUGAACACUUAAAACUAAAUUAGUCCUUGAAAUUAGUUGUGAAUGUCAAAUUAACCCUAAGUAGGGUGAUAGUCCAAAUUUUAACGGAUUUUAAUGGCUUGAACCGAAACAAAACCGCAAUCGAUUGAUUGAAUCGUCCGGUUCAAUUCGAUUUUUGAAACAUUAAAGUUAUAUCACUGGCAGGGUCUUGUUGUCAUUCAUCUUGUGGAUAACGCCAAAAAUUGGAGUAAAAUAAGACAAUGUUUCAAAAUAGUGUUCAGCAACAAGUUCUCAUCCAAGCCAUCUCGUGGAAAUAAAUACAAAUGUGUAUGAAUGUCUUUAAUUACUACUCCGACAGCCACUUAUGCAUGUGAGUUUAUAAAAAAUUUGUAAUUUCGUCUAUACAACAAAACAAAAACAAAAAAGUACCUACUUGGAAUUCAUUUCAUUUCUUAAAAGAAAAGAAAAGAAAUAGAAGACUCUUUCUAAAAGAUAAAGUAAAUAGAAAGCAAAAAGAGAAACGAAAAAGAAUUCUAAGAAAAAGAAGAUAAGGAUAUUUGGUUAAGCCAUUAAAUUACCUACUGUAAUUCAUGAUCCAAAGUAUUAUAUAUAAGUAAAAAUAAAAUUAGAGAAGGCACUCUAGGGCAACAAUAUUAAUAAUUGUUCACAUUUUUCUACAUUAAAAUUGCAUAUCUCAUACUAUCAUUUACCAUAAUAUGAUUGAUCUCAGAAAUUUGGCCAAAUUCACCAGUGGACCAAACCCCAUCAGAACCAUUAACACGAGGAUUAGAGAGACAAGAAAGUAUUGAAAUUGGUGCUUGAAGAAUAGCAUAUAUAACUGAAAAACCACUCCAUCCAUGCCCAUGCUGUCUUCUUCCUCUUUCACCUCCAAACAUUGCUACUUCAACCCCCCUAUUCCCUUCUUCAAACAUGUUCUCAUCUGCCACCUUAGAACUCUUCUUCAUCUUAUAAAUAUUAAUCCUUCUCACUGCAGCUACAAGAUGCCACAUCUACAAUUUGAUAAAAUUGAAUUUAGAAGAGACAAUAAUUAUGUAAGUACUACUUACUAGCUUUGAUUAUUUUGAAUGAUAUUUUUCAAUAUAAAGAUAUGAUGAACUUUGAAGAAGAAAUUGAUUAUAUGAUUGAAAGGGUCAACCUCUAUUUAUGAGGGUUAAAUGAUAAUGGUAUUAAGUGGUGGUAUUGCUAGUGCUAGUGUUUAUCACCAAAGUUUUUUAUGGGUAUCUUUUAGUUUAAAGAGCCAACCAACUAUCACUAGCAUAUUUUUUUUAUUCAUUGAUAAUUAUAUGUGGGGUCUAUUCAAGCCCAACAUGCCGACAAACCUACCUAAUAGUACAAAUUAUAGUCUUCAUUUGUCAAAUUAUGGGUUUACAACUUUACAUAAUAGAUUUGCUAUAUACAUAUAGUUAUAUACUGAUUUACUAUUUUACCUAACAAAAGGGUCAAGCUUUUUGAGGUAUAGUUCUGUUCAUUUUGUGGUAUAAAUUAAAGGGUCUCAACAAAUUGAAGCUAAAUGACAAAAAAGCUAGAUAGCUAUAGAUAUUAUCAAAAGUGUGGUAAUUCUAAUCAAUCAUUUGGAUGAGUAACUUUAUCAAGAAAGAAUCAUCAAUUACCCUCCAAUGAUUUUUCUUUGUAUGACAUUGCAUUGCAUUGCAUUGUAUGGUAACAAAUUAUGAUUGUUGAUGCAAAGUUGUAUAGAUUCCCCACAAAUUUAGUCUGUGUUGGGGAAUCAAUGCCGAUACCUAUAUGUGAUGGAGACAUAUGUGGUGGCAUAGAUUAGUACCAUUUCUCCACUAAAGAUUAAGACUCUCAUGGUUAUCUAUUAUCUAUAUUCCUUUCUUGAACCUUGAAGAAAGCCAAGAUACGGAUAGAUAUGCAUAUUAUUUUAAACUAAUAAUUAGAAAAAUCAUGGUAUUGGAUUUUAAACUAACCAAAUAAGUUUUGUAUAAUAUAUCUUAAUAUGGUACAUGAUCUUUGUACUUAGGGGUGGUCCUUGGGGACAACUUGAUGAUGCCAAAGAUCAACUAGCUGGCCAUAGUGGUCCCUCACUAGGAAAUAAGAUAUUUUUUUGGUGAAGGGUAUGGGGCAAAAACCCUAACAAGAAACUAGAUUAGAGAACAUGCAGGAAGGAAACUUGGUUGACAUCGGGAGUUCGAAAUGAAAGUCAGUACUUUAUUAACACAAUAAUGUUAAGUUGAUGCUUUUUUUUUCCUAUUUUUAUUAUACACGCUGUGUGAAAAGAUAUUUUAGUAGUUUCACCUCAUGUGAAAGAGAAUGUUGGAUGAGGUGAUAAGGGUCAUAUGGUCACAUAUCAUAUUUACGUGUGGUGGUAGAAGACGUGUCUAUCACUUCUGGUGGUCAAUAUAUUCACCACUCUAAUUAAAAAAAAUUCAAAGUAAAUUUAACGAAAAUCAAACUCAUGUAAGCAAAUAUUCUAUUUUGAUAAAACAAACUAUCAAAUACUUGAUUAGCUUCCUUGGUACAUGUUUCAUUUGGGGACAACCCAAGAGUGAGCCUUGUGACAAACUUUUCUUUUUGAGGGGAGCCUUGUAACAAUCUAAGUUGAGUAAAUUAAUUGCAAAGAGAGAAUCUGGGUCAUGGCAGAUCAAUAUCGCAUGGGAUAGGGACAAUUGCCCCACAAUAUUUUUAUGUAAAUCAUAAUAAAAUUGUUCGUUGGUGGUUUAGAGCGAGAUCCUAAAGAAUCCUUUAUUUUUUUAUCUUCGAUCGUUAGUUUUUGACCAAUUUGCUCGAAAAGUGUACUUUGGUGGAGUUUUAUUUAUUUUUUCUUUGGAGUUCCCUCUCUUUGGUGUUAAAAGGUUUUGUCUUGGUUUUGUCUAGGUGGCUUUUAGUUGAUUUCUUGGUGCUAAGGGGGUUUGUCCUCUGCAGUCAUUGCUAUUCGCAAAGUGUAAUAUGGAAAUGCAUGCAUAAGAAUAAUUGUAAUUCGUAAAAGGUUGCAUGUUUUAGGUUUUUGGCAUGAAAUUAUGUAUAAAAGAAUAAAUUUGUAGAACGUUGCAUAUUUUAUGGAGUCAUGCUAACUUGUAUUUUUAUGACACAUGCUAAAGAUUUUUUAAAUGGUACAUAUUUAUUAUAAAAUAUAAUUUUCUUUUACAAGUAUAAAACAUAAUGUUAUUAGACAAUUUAUUUACAAUAAUUUUCAAUCUCUAGAAGAAUAAAUUGACACGAUUUUCUAGACAAAAUUUACACUUUAGAUUCUUUAACAUGUCCUCUAAGGACACAAGUUAGCAUUUCCCUUAAGAUGACACUUGUUAAGGAUACAAAAUUUACCAAUUAUUUUUAUUUAUUUAUUUCCUAAAAAAAUGAAAAUAAUUGAUAUAUUUUAAGUAGAAAAAGUUGCUUUUUAAAAUUUUAAUGCAUUGAAUGCACCUUUUCUAAGACAAACUUUCUUCUUUAAGCUUCUUAAGAAGUGUUCUUACUUCUUAGAACACUUGUCAGUAUUUAUACUUUUUUUUUUUUUUUUGAGAAAAUACUUUUUGUUAAAUGUUGUAAUAGUUGUCUUAUCAAUCAUGGACUAGUAUUUUCUUGCACUUGCCAAAAAAAAUUAUGUUUAUUAGAGUCAAUUACAACUUGGGUCGCUCCUUGAUACUUGAUAAGCAGUCAAUAUUCCUCGGUGUUAUUUGUUACACUUAAAAAAAAUUAUUAAUUGUCAUAAUUAUUUUGUGAAAUAAAUAAAUAAAAAUGAUCGAUAUUAAAAAACAAAUUAUUUCACCAGGCGAGAUUUGAUGGUUUGAGAUGGUGAGAUUCGAAUCCUUCAAUUAAUUUUGGUGGUUUUAGACGAGUCUUCCCAAUCAUUUCCAAUGAACCAGUCUUCAUAAGCAGUAAUUACUACUACUGGAAAUUUCAAUUGUGGGAAAUCGAAUUACUAACUUAUUGUGAGUUAGAUUAGGCGAUAUUGUGUUGAACCAAAAUGAAUUUUGAACAAUAACUUUGAAGUUUUGAUGAUUACAAAGUAUGAAAAUACAAUUUGAUAUGUUAAUGUGUUUUCAAGUAUGUAGUAUCAUAAAAUUAAGGUUUAAAUGUAUCAUUGGUCCCUGCACUUUCAUCAAAUUUUGGCAUUGGUCUCUGCACUUUGUAAAAAUAUUGGUAUUGGUCCCUCUGCUAACUUUCUGUUAAAAAAAAAACACAAAACUAACGGAGUGCCACGUGGCCCAAUCAUUUCACGCCACGUGGCACCAAUAUCAAUAUUUUUACAAAGUGCAGGGACCAAUACCAAUAGUUUUGUGUUUUUUUUUAACAGAGGGAUCAAUACCAAUAUUUUUACAAAGUGCAGGGACCAAUUUCAAACAAAAAAAAGUGUAGGGACCAAUGCCAAAAUCUUAUGAAAGUGCAGGGACUAAAGACAUAUUUAAGCCUAAAAUUAAAGUAUGACUCUUAAAGUCAAGUUUUGGUUAUGAAAUAUAAGAUUUUGAACACCAAGGAGAGCAUCUGAAGGAAAAUAUAAGCUUGUAUAACUUAUAACAAGUUAUGUGAAAUUCAAAACUGUUGGUUUGUUGGAUCCUUUUCGGUCGAAUGAGAAGUCUCAAAAUUCAUGUUGAUUAGGUUUCUGAAUAGACAAUUUAUCUAAUUGACUUAUAUCGUAGACUCCAAUCGUCAGAAAACGAUUUACUAACCUAUUGUGGGUUAGAUUAGAGAAUAUUGAAUGGUCGAGAUUGUUAAAUUCAAAAUUGUUUGUCGUUUUGAUCAUUUUUCAAUCUAAUAAUAAGCCUCCUUUCAUGUUAACUAGGUCUCUGAAUGGACAGUUUGUCGG
rnacentral:lncRNA from 1 species